rnacentral:ncRNA from 12 species
CGAGGCAAGGUCUGUGGUUGAAAGUCGAUGCCAGACGCGGGCGAAGCGAUCCACAUAAGUCGGCAAAAUGCCGAUGAACAUGGCGCGUCCUAGGAGUAAGUCCAACCGGAGCAAUCCGAGAGGGGUAGUAGUGGGGACGGAGACACCGUUAGGAGCGAACCUUCCAGUUGGCGAGUGUGGGGGCAAAAACCAGGUCAGCUUACCAAA